rnacentral:other from 1 species
GACACCCUGCUGUGUUCGAGGUGCUUUCAAUACACGCUCUUUGCCUUUGAAUCAAAUCGGGAGCCGCCAAUACGCCGGUCGCUGCUAGGCCGUAAAUCGGACAGCAAUAAGCCGUCGGGGGGCGCCCACCUUAGCUUAAAAAGGUCCUGAGCCUUUGGGCAUACGGCACAAGCGGGGUGUCU